CCUGAGAAAAAAAAAGCAACCAAAGUACCAGGAGACCAUGCAGCAUUUGCCAGUGAGGAGAACGGGGCAGCAGAAAGAGAAGCUUCCUGCCACUUCACACAAUUUUGUGAUUUUUGUGUGUAUGAGAUUUGAAUCAUAUUAAUUCUGUCCAGCUGAUUGACAGAGCCACUGACUGCAACUUAAUAGAGUCCUCAUGGAUCCACAGGAGAAGAGGUGGCAGGCUGCAUUCCUCUAUGAGACAACACUUUCUCUUGGAGUCCCAGCCUCUGCUGAGUUAGAGGGCAGCUUCGGGAGAGUCCCUCUGGGGAUGCACAGGCAUACCGGCAUGCCUUCUUCAGCCACACAUUUGUGAAGACGAGUGUUUGAGAAAACCACCACAUAGCUAUCAGUUCACUUUACAAGGCUAACCCAGACUAGGAUCCAGAGAGAUUCUUUGCUGAAUGGCUGCUUCUACAGAAGGAACCCCCAUGAAAUGUCUGAGCUUUAGAUCUGCCAGCCCAGUACCAUUUUUGAUCUCUGAUGGGCAUGAGGGGUGAGCACUAUGAGGAAAAAGUUGAGAUUUUUGUCUUCUCCCUUCUGUUUCCUAUCGGUUUCUCUCCCAGAUGAUGGCAGUGGUAUCUGAGCACCAAGCGUUUGUUUAGUACAGGGCUGAGCAUCUCAUUUUACAAAUGAGCUGACUGAAGUACCAAGACAUUCCUCAUGGACUGGACAUUGUAGCGCUCAGGGCUUCAGAGCGUUUUUGUAUAAUGCUUGUAUUUCGUGUCUUCAAGGAAUAGUCUGUGCUUUGGUGUAUUCCCUUGCUGAAUACAGUGACCCUACACCCCUCCCCAGAUGCAAGCAUGUAAACAUACACACACAUACACACACACACACGGCCCUGUAUGUUCCAAGGAACCACGUACCUAUGUCUGUCUCUCCACCUUGAACUCUAAGAUUUCUUGGACAUGAACCUUGCAGUCCAAAUGCUAGGUCACAUGUGCUCCACGUUGUCACUUGGCAGCAUACCUUCUUGCUUGGCCCAAAGGCCCAGAUCCUCUUUUUUUUUUUUUUUUCCUUCAGACAUUUCACAAAUGCCACUGCUUCGAGAUA
rnacentral:lncRNA from 1 species